GAGUGAGAGACGGCAGCCGCCUGCUAGCUGGCUAAUAAAAGGCUCUUUAAAUUCUGUUUGGCUGUCUCGUACUUUACCUCGUGGGCACCGUAACAUUUGGAGGCCCCAGCAAGAUAUAUCUCAGCGUUUGCUGAGGCUCGUAGGUCGAGACAAAGGUCUGACUACCGGCCCUCCCCCAGGGGGUGCGCGCUGAGAGACGUUCCUCAGCCCCGGCGGAGAACCGAGUGGUCAAGCCUCGAAAUUCAAAAAUCCGCCUCUGGAGCCGUCUGGACGUGGGCCCACAAUGCCCACAUAGGAAGACUAUCAACAACUUCUGCAAACCCUUUUCACGUCAGAAGAGGAAGAGAAUCCGUGCCCAGGGAUGGAAACUAGUCGUGGGGCCAGACAAUCUACCUACCACGGAAGCAGACUGCCUCAAAACUGUUUUUCUUUUCACCCAACCCCGAUGGGACCCUAACAUAAAUUAAGUCCUUACAGGCCUUGCAGUAUAACUCCAGAAACAACCACUGCACCAUCCGCGCCCACCACCCGAAACCUGACGCCGUGAGAACAGGAAUCCCUACGGCUGACUCUUUGAAGUAAACUGGAACUUACUGGAAGCGGUCAAUAAGUACCUAGGUGGGGGACAUGCAGAAUUGUAAGGCUUUCGCUGUAAAAACCUAAACUUAGAACAGAAACUAUAAAAUAGUCAGCACUAUAUCUGUCCACUAAAAAGUACCUCAGCAGCAUGUGGGGAAAAAAAAUUAUUAUUUCUGUUACAGUUAGGGCUAUAAAACUAUAGCCCCAUUAAAAAAAUGUAAACCAUCUGUUAAGGGUCACAAAAAAUAAAAGGCCAGAAGCUCCUACUAAAAAUUGUGCAAUUAAAAACUAUAACCCUGUUACUUUUAAACCACAGCAGUUUUGGAAGAAUUCCCAGUGGUUGGAAAAAAAAAAAACAUGAAAAUUGCGCCUAUAUGUAUUAAGACUUUAGG